rnacentral:rRNA from 1 species
UUAAGUUCCCCGCCUGGGGAGUACGGCCGCAAGGCUAAAACUCAAAGGAAUUGACGGGGACCCGCACAAGCGGCGGAGCAUGCGGAUUAUUCGAUGCAACGCGAAGAACCUUACCAAGGCUUGACAUACACCAGAACACCGUAGAAAUACGGGACUCUUUGGACACUGGUGAACAGGUGGUGCAUGGUUGUCGUCAGCUCGUGUCGUGAGAUGUUGGGUUAAGUCCCGCAACGAGCGCAACCCUCGUUCUUGUUGCCAGCACGUUAUGGUGGGAACUCAUGGGAUACUGCCGGGGUCAACUCGGAGGAAGGUGGGGAUGACGUCAAAUCAUCAUGCCCCUAUGUCUUGGGCUUCACGCAUGCUACAAUGGCCGGUACAAAGGGCUGCAAUACCGGAGGUGGAGCGAAUCCCAAAAACCGUCCCAGUUCGAUUGAGGUCUGCAACUCGACCUCAUGAAGUCGGAGUCGCUAGUAAUCGCAGCAGCACGCU